AUACGGAGGAUGCGAGCGUUAUCCGGAUUUAUUGGGUUUAAAGGGAGCGUAGGUGGGAUAUUAAGUCAGCUGUGAAAGUUUGGGGCUCAACCUUAAAAUUGCAGUUGAUACUGGUUUCCUUGAGUACGGUACAGGUGGGCGGAAUUCGUGGUGUAGCGGUGAAAUGCUUAGAUAUCACGAAGAACUCCGAUCGCGAAGGCAGCUCACCGGGCCGGAACUGACACUGAUGCUCGAAAGUGCGGGUAUCAAACAGGAUUAGAUACCCUGGUAGUCCGCACAGUAAACGAUGAAUACUCGCUGUUUGCGAUACACGGUAAACGGCCAAGCGAAAGCGUUAAGUAUUCCACCUGGGGAGUACGCCGGCAACGGUGAAACUCAAAUGAAUUGACGGGG
rnacentral:rRNA from 1 species